UUUGGGCAUGUAAUUCCACAUUAACUGGUAUCCAGUAAGUGUUAUGCCUAUAUUUGAUUCUUCUUAUUCAUUUAUGUCUUAAUAUGAUAUAUCAAUAUGGAUCUUGCGGAUUACAUUGACUUCGGGUAUUUGGACUAAUCUGACAUAACUCAUUAUAUUUUGUUCUUUUGGGCAUGUAGCUGGUGGACGACCGAAAUUGAGGACCUGGUUUUUUUAGUAAUCACCGUGAGAGAGAAAAGGACAUUAAAAGUCUCUUUUGUGGAUGUUUGAGGGUGGCUUUAGCUCUCUCUCUUUUGCUUCAUGCCUCUGAAUCAAAACAAAUAAACCCUCCCUCCAACCAUCUCCAUUGCGACACUCUUCAGGGAAGGUUUUGAUGGAGUAUGGGAAUGGGAUUUGCCCAUUACAAGCCUGCCCUGUAUUGAGCAGCAAGCAGACUGUUUGAACUAGUCUAAAAAGGUUAAGAAAAGAUGUGUUGGCCAAGGAUGAAGCAGAAAGUCAGAAACCUCUUUGGCUAUUAAUGGACUUGUGCCUGAAGGAGAGUGGAGGAUUUGGAAAUAAGCUACUGUAGGAUGUGAGUCUGUAUAUCUCAAAAAUCGAGGUAUGGAUGUUAGGGUGUAUUCUCUCACUUCGGUGCUAAAUGAGUUGUUUGUCAUGCUUGGCAAUUGUGAGUGAUCACCUUUGAAAGUUAGUAGAGGAAGAACUUGAAGAGCAGUAUUUGUGUAGUAACUAAUUCAACUUUAAGGCUUGGCUUUGCAGUUGGCAUUAUGCAUGCCUGUGAAGGAAGUGCUGGAGUGUUAAUAAUGUUCGAUCAGCCAGCGGUAUAUGAAUGCUUUUGUUCAUCAUCCCUUGGUGAUUCUCCUCACAGCUCUGGAGGCUUUUAGCUAUAUGAUGGCAUGUGAAAUGACAAUAUCAAUUGGUGCAUCUGGUGCACUUUUUGUACUAUUGGGAGCCAUGGUUUGUAAGAUUUUCACUAAUUGGACAAUCUAUGCAAAGAAGGUAGCAUUUUUGUUUUGCUCUUUAUUGCCUAGUAACAAUGACAGUCCGAUACUCAAAGCUAAGGUUUUAUCAGAUUAACCUUCAUGGGCAAAACAAUUUAUGCUAAUUGGAUGAUGCCGUGUACCACAUUGAAAACGCUUCAACUUAUUAUGUGCAAAAAUUUAGAGCAUUUGCCUUCUUUGGGGCAGUUGCCAUUCCUUGAAGUAUUGAGCAUAUCGCUCUUUAAUUUGAAUAGGGUGGGAGAUGAAUUUCUGGGAAUAGAAGAUUCCAAAAACAAGGACCAUGACAUCAUAUUCCCAAACCUGAAAUCUCUCCAAUUUGUGUAUUUGAGAAACUGGGAAGAAUGGAUUGGGAUGGGAGGAACAGGAGAAGAAGAAGAAGAAAAUGAUAAUGGUAUUGUUACUAUUCCGAUAAUAAUAAAAAUAAUGCCACGUCUUCAGUCCUUGAAAAUUUUUUACUGCUACAAUCUAAAGCUUCUGCCAGACUACUUGUGUACUGCUCCAUUAUUGAAGGAAUUGGAGAUUUUUGGAUCCCUACUUCUUGAAGAAAGUUACAAAACAGGGACGGGAGAGAACUCGCCCAGGAUUUCUCACAUCCCAAACAUCAUAUUGGGUUGGGUGUAUGUGCAAAUAGACGGUGAACCCCAGAAUUGAUUCAGACAGUCAUUCAGAGACUGAUGAUAGUCAACACAAUGAAUUUGGACUAGAAAUCAAUGACAAAGAUGAUGUAGAAGAAGUUAAUGAGGAAGUUGGGG